AAAUUGAAGAGUUUGAUCAUGGCUCAGAUUGAACGCUGGCGGCAGGCCUAACACAUGCAAGUCGAACGGUAACAGGAAGCAGCUUGCUGCUUUGCUGACGAGUGGCGGACGGGUGAGUAAUGUCUGGGAAACUGCCUGAUGGAGGGGGAUAACUACUGGAAACGGUGGCUAAUACCGCAUAACGUCGCAAGACCAAAGAGGGGGACCUUCGGGCCUCUUGCCAUCAGAUGUGCCCAGAUGGGAUUAGCUUGUUGGUGAGGUAACGGCUCACCAAGGCGACGAUCCCUAGCUGGUCUGAGAGGAUGACCAGCCACACUGGAACUGAGACACGGUCCAGACUCCUACGGGAGGCAGCAGUGGGGAAUAUUGCACAAUGGGCGCAAGCCUGAUGCAGCCAUGCCGCGUGUAUGAAGAAGGCCUUCGGGUUGUAAAGUACUUUCAGCGGGGAGGAAGGUGUUGUGGUUAAUAACCGCAGCAAUUGACGUUACCCGCAGAAGAAGCACCGGCUAACUCCGUGCCAGCAGCCGCGGUAA
rnacentral:rRNA from 1 species